GGCGAAAUGGUGUAGUGGUAUCACGCUUGCUUCGGGUGCAAGAGGUCUCGGGUUCAAAUCCCGGUUUCGCCC